GCCUACCAUGGUUUUAACGGGUAACGGGGAAUUAGGGUUCGAUUCCGGAGAGGGAGCCUGAGAAACGGCUACCACAUCCAAGGAAGGCAGCAGGCGCGCAAAUUACCCAAUCCCGACACGGGGAGGUAGUGACAAUAAAUAACAAUACGGGGCUCAUUUGGGUCUCGUAAUUGGAAUGAGUACAAUUUAAAUCCCUUAACGAGGAACAAUUGGAGGGCAAGUCUGGUGCCAGCAGCCGCGGUAAUUCCAGCUCCAAUAGCGUAUAUUAAAGUUGUUGCAGUUAAAAAGCUCGUAGUUGAACUUCGGGGUCUACCCAUUGGUCAGGCUUAGUUGUCUGCACUGGUGAGAUGGAUCUCUACCUUCUGAGGAACCUUCAUGCCAUUUAUUUGGUGUGAUGGGAAAUCAGGACUGUUACUUUGAAAAAAUUAGAGUGUUUAAAGCAGACUAUCGUCUGAAUACAUUAGCAUGGAAUAAUGAAAUAGGACGGACUGAUUCUAUUUCGUUGGUUUCUAGGAUCACCGUAAUGAUUAAUAGGGAUAGUUGGGGGCAUUAGUAUUCAAUUGUCAGAGGUGAAAUUCUUGGAUUUAUUGAAGACUAACUACUGCGAAAGCAUUUGCCAAGGAUGUUUUCAUUAAUCAAGAACGAAAGUUAGGGGAUCGAAGACGAUCAGAUACCGUCGUAGUCUUAACCAUAAACUAUGCCGACUAGGGAUCGGACGAAGUUAAUUUUAUAAUGACGCGUUCGGCACCUUACG
rnacentral:rRNA from 1 species